UACGUAGGGGGCGAGCGUUGUCCGGAAUCAUUGGGCGUAAAGCGCGUGUAGGCGGCCCGGUAAGUCCGCUGUGAAAGUCCAGGGCUCAACCCUGGGAUGCCGGUGGAUACUGUCGGGCUCGAGUCCGGAAGAGGCGAGUGGAAUUCCUGGUGUAGCGGUGAAAUGCGCAGAUAUCAGGAGGAACACCGGUGGCGAAGGCGGGUCUCUGGGCCGAUACUGACGCUGAGGAGCGAAAGCGUGGGGAGCAAACAGG
rnacentral:rRNA from 1 species